rnacentral:rRNA from 1 species
AUGGAGAAUGACGACUUGGCCCUGCAGCCGAUGCCAACCAUCAACUUCUUCCCAGUAGCAAGAAGUCAAGCCCUUUUGUGGUACGAUCUAUCCCGAAGGAGGUCGUCCCCCGAGCCCGCAUCCCUGUCGUCGACCUUGCGCACAGGGAAGGUCGCAAUCUGCGUCAUCGAGGCCGGUGGGUUCAUCUGCUUCCACCUCUACGAGAAGCUCAUGGCCGAGAACCCGCACACGGUCCUCGCCGUUGACGUUUACUGCGACAAGAUCCGCCAUCUCGUGGACCCACCUUUCUAUGGCGUUUGUCCAGACCAUCUACGACUACGAGAGUGCUCUCAGGUGCAAUGA